UACGAAGGGGGCGAGCGUUGUUCGGAUUUACUGGGCGUAAAGGGCGCGCAGGCGGCAGACCAAGUCAGGCGUGAAAGCCCAGGGCUCAACCCUGGAAAGUGCACUCGAAACUGACCGGCUUGAAUAUGGAAGAGGGUCGCGGGAAUUCCCGGUGUCAGAGGUGAAAUUCGUAGAUAUCGGGAGGAACACCAGUGGCGAAGGCGGCGACCUGGGCCAAUAUUGACGCUGAGGUGCGAAAGCGUGGGGAGCAAACGGG
rnacentral:rRNA from 1 species